rnacentral:misc_RNA from 1 species
CAAUUUAUCUCUAAGUUGCUGCAUUUCCCCCUGAAAAAAUCUUCUUUCUUCAAGCCAUUGCUUUACUGGCAUAACUUUAUCGUUUCCAUCUUUCCACUCAUUUGCAACUACAGUAGCAACUCUGUUUGCACUAACCUUUGCACGAGCUACUUCACGUUCCAAUGCUUUUUUCUCCUCAUUCAUUUCUUGCACUUUUCUCUGGUAAUCACGCACAGCAUUAGCAGCAGCGCCUCCAGAUAAGACAGCCUCCUCAAGCUCACGAAC